rnacentral:rRNA from 1 species
GAUGAACGCUGGCGGCGUGCCUAAUACAUGCAAGUCGAGCGAACAGAUGAGGAGCUUGCUCCUCUGACGUUAGCGGCGGACGGGUGAGUAACACGUGGAUAACCUACCUAUAAGACUGGGAUAACUACGGGAAACCGGAGCUAAUACCGGAUAAUAUAUUGAACCGCAUGGUUCAAUAGUGAAAGACGGUUUUGCUGUCACUUAUAGAUGGAUCCGCGCCGCAUUAGCUAGUUGGUAAGGUAACGGCUUACCAAGGCAACGAUGCGUAGCCGACCUGAGAGGGUGAUCGGCCAAACUGGAACUGAGACACGGUCCAGACUCCUAAGGGAGGCAGCAGUAGGGAAUCUUCCGCAAUGGGCGAAAGCCUGACGGAGCAACGCCGCGUGAGUGAUGAAGGUCUUCGGAUCGUAAAACUCUGUUAUUAGGGAAGAACAAAUGUGUAAGUAACUAUGCACGUCUUGACGGUACCUAAUCAGAAAGCCACGGCUAACUACGUG